rnacentral:rRNA from 1 species
GUGGGGAAUAUUGGACAAUGGGCGAAAGCCUGAUCCAGCCAUGCCGCGUGUGUGAAGAAGGUCUUCGGAUUGUAAAGCACUUUAAGUUGGGAGGAAGGGCAGUAAGUUAAUACCUUGCUGUUUUGACGUUACCGACAGAAUAAGCACCGGCUAACUUCGUGCCAGCAGCCGCGGUAAUACGAAGGGUGCAAGCGUUAAUCGGAAUUACUGGGCGUAAAGCGCGCGUAGGUGGUUUUGUAAGUUGGAGGUGAAAUCCCAGGGCUCAACCUGGGAACUACCUCCAAAACUGCAUGACUAGAGUACGGUAGAGGGUAGUGGAAUUUCCUGUGUAGCGGUGAAAUGCGUAGAUAUAGGAAGGAACACCAGUGGCGAAGGCGACUACCUGGACUGAUACUGACACUGAGGUGCGAAAGCGUGGGGAGCAAACAGGAUUAGAAACCCUAGUAGUCC